AGCGGACGCUGGCGGCAGGCCUAACACAUGCAAGUCGAACGAACCCUUCGGGGUUAGUGGCGGACGGGUGAGUAACACGUGGGAACGUGCCUUUAGGUUCGGAAUAACUCAGGGAAACUUGUGCUAAUACCGAAUGUGCCCUUCGGGGGAAAGAUUUAUCGCCUUUAGAGCGGCCCGCGUCUGUUUAGCUAGUUGGUGAGGUAAUGGCUCACCAAGGCUACGAUCAGUAGCUGGUCUGAGAGGAUGACCAGCCACAUUGGGACUGAGACACGGCCCAAACUCCUACGGGAGGCAGCAGUGGGGAAUCUUGCGCAAUGGGCGAAAGCCUGACGCAGCCAUGCCGCGUGGAUGAUGAAGGUCUUAGGAUUGUAAAAUCCUUUCACCGGUGAAGAUAAUGACUGUAGCCGGAGAAGAAGCCCCGGCUAACUUCGUGCCAGCCGCCGCCGUAAUAC
rnacentral:rRNA from 1 species